rnacentral:lncRNA from 1 species
CUGGAGACAUUGAUGGAUGAGGGCAGGAAGGUCAGGAGAUUCCAGUGGGGCCUCUCGCCCAGAGAUCAAGCAACACUUAUUGGUACUGGAGCUCAAGACAUACUCAACCGUUCUAGCAAAGGCACAGAUUGUGGAGAGGAGUUUCAACACCCGUCCUCAGUCAGCAGGGAGUCACCGACCCUCAGCUCCACCCCACAGACCAGCACC